CAGUAGCCGCGGUAAUACGUAGGGUGCGAGCGUUAAUCGGAAUUACUGGGCGUAAAGCGUGCGCAGGCGGUUUUGUAAGACAGGCGUGAAAUCCCCGGGCUCAACCUGGGAAUGGCGCUUGUGACUGCAAAGCUAGAGUGCGGCAGAGGGGGAUGGAAUUCCGCGUGUAGCAGUGAAAUGCGUAGAUAUGCGGAGGAACACCGAUGGCGAAGGCAAUCCCCUAGGCCUGCACUGACGCUCAUGCACGAAAGCGUGGGGAGCAAACAGGAUUAGAUACCCGGGUAGUCCCUGUCUCUUAUAC
rnacentral:rRNA from 1 species